rnacentral:lncRNA from 1 species
ACUAUUCUCUCUAUAGGGAAUCCAAAUGGCCCACUAUUCUCUAUAUAGGGAAUCCAAAUGGCCCUCUAUUCUCUAUAUAGGGAAUCCAAAUGGCCCUCUAUUCUCUAUAUAGGGAAUCCAAAUGGCCCACUAUUCUCUAUAGGGAAUCCAAAUGGCCCACUAUUCUCUAUAUAGGGAAUCCAAAUGGCCCACUAUUCUCUAUAUAGGGAAUCCAAAUGGCCCUCUAUUCUCUAUAUAGGGGAAUCCAAAUGGCCCUCUAUUCUCUAUAUAGGGAAUCCAAAUGGCCCUCUAUUCUCUAUAUAGGGAAUCCAAAUGGCCCACUAUUCUCUAUAGGGAAUCCAAAUGGCCCACUAUUCUCUAUAUAGGGAAUCCAAAUGGCCCUCUAUUCUCUAUAUAGGGAAUCCAAAUGGCCCACUAUUCUCUAUAGGGAAUCCAAAUGGCCCUCUAUUCUCUAUAUAGGGAAUCCAAAUGGCCCACUAUUCUCUAUAUAGGGAAUCCAAAUGGCCCACUAUUCUCUAUAUAGGGAAUCCAAAUGGCCCACUAUUCUCUAUAGGGAAUCCAAAUGGCCCUCUAUUCUCUAUAUAGGGAAUCCAAAUGGCCCACUAUUCUCUAUAUAGGGAAUCCAAAUGGCCCACUAUUCUCUAUAUAGGGAAUCCAAAUGGCCCUCUAUUCUCUAUAUAGGGAAUCCAAAUGGCCCUCUAUUCUCUAUAUAGGGAAUCCAAAUGGCCCUCUAUUCUCUAUAUAGGGAAUCCAAAUGGCCCUCUAUUCUCUAUAUAGGGAAUCCAAAUGGCCCACUAUUCUCUAUAUAGGGAAUCCAAAUGGCCCACUAUUCUCUAUAUAGGGAAUCCAAAUGGCCCUCUAUUCUCUCUAUAGGGAAUCCAAAUGGCCCUCUAUUCUCUCUAUAGGGAAUCCAAAUGGCCCUCUAUUCUCUAUAUAGGGAAUCCAAAUGGCCCUCUAUUCUCUAUAUAGGGAAUCCAAAUGGCCCACUAUUCUCUCUAUAUAGGGAAUCCAAAUGGCCCUCUAUUCUCUAUAUAGGGAAUCCAAAUGGCCCACUAUUCUCUAUAUAGGGAAUCCAAAUGGCCCUCUAUUCUCUCUAUAGGGAAUCCAAAUGGCCCACUAUUCUCUCUAUAGGGAAUCCAAAUGGCCCACUAUUCUCUAUAGGGAAUCCAAAUGGCCCUCUAUUCUCUAUAUAGGGAAUCCAAAUGGCCCACUAUUCUCUAUAUAGGGAAUCCAAAUGGCCCACUAUUCUCUAUAUAGGGAAUCCAAAUGGCCCACUAUUCUCUAUAGGGAAUCCAAAUGGCCCUCUAUUCUCUAUAUAGGGAAUCCAAAUGGCCCACUAUUCUCUAUAUAGGGAAUCCAAAUGGCCCACUAUUCUCUAUAUAGGGAAUCCAAAUGGCCCUCUAUUCUCUAUAUAGGGAAUCCAAAUGGCCCUCUAUUCUCUAUAUAGGGAAUCCAAAUGGCCCUCUAUUCUCUAUAUAGGGAAUCCAAAUGGCCCUCUAUUCUCUAUAUAGGGAAUCCAAAUGGCCCACUAUUCUCUAUAUAGGGAAUCCAAAUGGCCCACUAUUCUCUAUAUAGGGAAUCCAAAUGGCCCUCUAUUCUCUCUAUAGGGAAUCCAAAUGGCCCUCUAUUCUCUCUAUAGGGAAUCCAAAUGGCCCUCUAUUCUCUAUAUAGGGAAUCCAAAUGGCCCUCUAUUCUCUAUAUAGGGAAUCCAAAUGGCCCACUAUUCUCUCUAUAUAGGGAAUCCAAAUGGCCCUCUAUUCUCUAUAUAGGGAAUCCAAAUGGCCCACUAUUCUCUAUAUAGGGAAUCCAAAUGGCCCUCUAUUCUCUCUAUAGGGAAUCCAAAUGGCCCACUAUUCUCUCUAUAGGGAAUCCAAAUGGCCCACUAUUCUCUAUAUAGGGAAUCCAAAUGGCCCUCUAUUCUCUAUAUAGGGAAUCCAAAUGGCCCUCUAUUCUCUAUAUAGGGAAUCCAAAUGGCCCUCUAUUCUCUAUAGGGAAUCCAAAUGGCCCACUAUUCUCUAUAGGGAAUCCAAAUGGCCCUCUAUUCUCUCUAUAGGGAAUCCAAGUGGCCCACUAUUCUCUAUAUAGGGAAUCCAAAUGGCCCACUAUUCUCUAUAUAGGGAAUCCAAAUGGCCCACUAUUCUCUAUAUAGGGAAUCCAAAUGGCCCACUAUUCUCUAUAUAGGGAAUCCAAAUGGCCCACUAUUCUCUAUAUAGGGAAUCCAAAUGGCCCACUAUUCUCUAUAUAGGGAAUCCAAAUGGUUAGGAUGAGGGUUAAGGUUAGGAUGAGGGUUAAGGUUAGGAUGAGGGUUAAGGUUAGGAUGAGGGUUAAGGUUAGGAUGAGGGUUAAGGUUAGGAUGAGGUUUAAGGUUAGGAUGAGGGUUAAGGUUAGGAUGAGGGUUAAGGUUAGGAUGAGGGUUAAGGUUAGGAUGAGGGUUAAGGUUAGGGUGAGGGUUAAGGUUAGGGUGAGGGUUAAGGUUAGGAUGAGGGUUAAGGUUAGGAUGAGGGUUAAGGUUAGGAUGAGGGUGAAGGUUAGGAUGAGGGUUAAGGUUAGGAUGAGGGUUAAGGUUAGGAUGAGGGUUAAGGUUAGGAUGAGGGUUAAGGUUAGGAUGAGGGUUAAGGUUAGGAUGAGGGUUAAGGUUAGGGUUAGAGCUAGGAGAAGUGUUGAACCAACAUUAAGCCGUAGGAACUGCCUCCUAAAAGGGAAUUAUAGGCUACACAAGGAAAGGGUAUAUUUUUAUAUUCAGAAUUGUUGAUCAUUUUCUUUAUGUAUUAUUAGAAUUUUUUUAGUAUUUUUUUUUUUUUGUACAAAUUAUAUUUCAAUAAAGAAUAUUGUCUGUUCACUUUUGGAAUAUAAUCAAA